rnacentral:rRNA from 2 species
AGACCCGAAACCCGGUGAUCUAGCCAUGGGCAGGUUGAAGGUUGGGUAACACUAACUGGAGGACCGAACCGACUAAUGUUGAAAAAUUAGCGGAUGACCUGUGGCUGGGGGUGAAAGGCCAAUCAAACCGGGAGAUAGCUGGUUCUCCCCGAAAGCUAUUUAGGUAGCGCCUCGUGAAUUCAUCUCCGGGGGUAGAGCACUGUUUCGGCUAGGGGGCCAUCCCGGCUUACCAACCCGAUGCAAACUGCGAAUACCGGAGAAUGUUAUCACGGGAGACACACGGCGGGUGCUAACGUCCGUCGUGAAGAGGGAAACAACCCAGACCGCCAGCUAAGGUCCCAAAGUCAUGGUUAAGUGGGAAACGAUGUGGGAAGGCCCAGACAGCCAGGAUGUUGGCUUAGAAGCAGCCAUCAUUUAAAGAAAGCGUAAUAGCUCACUGGUCGAGUCGGCCUGCGCGGAAGAUGUAACGGGGCUAAACCAUGCACCGAAGCUGCGGCAGCGACACUGUGUGUUGUUGGGUAGGGGAGCGUUCUGUAAGCCUGUGAAGGUGUGUCGUGAGGCAUGCUGGAGGUAUCAGAAGUGCGAAUGCUGACAU